GAUCCUGGCUUAGGAUGAACGCUAGCUACAGGCUUAACACAUGCAAGUCGAGGGGUAGCAGGGUAGCAAUACCGCUGACGACCGGCGCACGGGUGAGUAACACGUAUCCAACCUUCCCAUAACUCAGGGAUAGCCUUUCGAAAGAAAGAUUAAUACCUGAUAGUACUUUUUCAAGGCAUCUUGAGAAAGUUAAAGAUUUAUUGGUUAUGGAUGGGGAUGCGUUCCAUUAGAUAGUUGGUGAGGUAACGGCUCACCAAGUCUUCGAUGGAUAGGGGUUCUGAGAGGAAGGUCCCCCACAUUGGUACUGAGACACGGACCAAACUCCUACGGGAGGCAGCAGUGAGGAAUAUUGGUCAAUGGGCGAGAGCCUGAACCAGCCAAGUAGCGUGAAGGAAUGAAGGUCCUAUGGAUUGUAAACUUCUUUUAUAGUAGAAUAAAGUGAUCCACGUGUGGAUUUUUGUAUGUAUACUAUGAAUAAGGAUCGGCUAACUCCGUGCCAGCCGCCGC
rnacentral:rRNA from 1 species